UUUUACAGUUCAAAGGUUGCUACUGGAUGUUGUUUGCCUUCAGGACCCUAAUAAUAUGACCAAGCUUGAAGUGUUCUAUUUUGAGUGAUAAAUAUAUUCACAGUACAAAAUGUAGAGUACCUAAGUCAACAUCAGAGAUUUUCCAAUUUUAAAAACCCUCACAAGUUUAUAUGCUGAAGUUUUCCUGAAAGAAAAGAAUUGGUUUCAAUAUUGCUUUGUAUUUCCUGAAAACACAUCAGUCCCAGCUUGGGAAAGGAAGGCAGACAAUGGCCAUAGGAGAAUUAAGUGUUUCCCUCAUAUCUGUCGUAAUGUGGGUAAUACACAGAUACACAAGCAACAGUUGACCAACACUACACUUCCUUCUCAGCCACAGACAUGGAAAUGCUUUACAAAGCAAGAUGAGUAGUAGUGUGAUGUUGGACUUGGCACUAUUUUCGUAACAGAAAAUGAACGGUCCUUAAGAAUAACCAAGUCAGAAAUGUGCAUCAAUUUGUCAAUAACUACAUCAUCAAUGAAAAAGAAGGUUACAUAAAGAAUGGAACAUACAUGAGAUUCCAGAAUUUUACAUUUAGUGGAAAUUUUUGAGAUUUACUCCUAAAACUUCUAAAGAUGAAUGUAAAAUUGCCGAAAGAAAUCAUUAGUCAUAUUAGAAAUACACUAGGAACUAUUCCUAUGCUGGGAAAUGGAUCAAAACCCACAUUUCUAACUGACAUUUUACAGCAGAUCAAAGCCAGAGAUGAGGUGGCAUACACCUAAGAUAUUCAAACUCUGGCUUGAAGGUCAAUUGGAUCUGCCGACAUGUGUUGCUGAUUUUGUAACAUGAAAGCCAGCUAGAAAGAACAGGUCAGUGAAAUGCAUGUACUCCGUAUUCCUCAUCUCAGCCCUAUCCAAAUGUUUACAGAAUAGUUUGAAGAGACUUGCAGUUUCCUGUUAUCAGUCUUAGUAAAGCUUGGCAAACCUUUAAUAACAAGUCUAUCAACAACCCACCAGGGAUUUGAUUUUAGUCUUUGAGUGCUUGAAUUUUUAUGUUUAUUGAGCAAUUUUUAAUUGGAUGAACCAAGACCUUUCUUGAUCAGUUGCCCACAUUGCCUCAUGGAAGUGUGGCAUGCAUGCUCAGCUUGAAAAGGCAAUGGCAGCUGGGGAAAAACAGCACUUUGUGUAAGCCGAGAAGAGGGCAGGCAGACAGACAAGAGGCAAGAGUCCCCUGGAAGAAGCUUUAGUGUGAGUGCUUUAAGCCAUCCAGAGAAACUAAACUCGACUAAUCACUACCUUGCACUUGUGUUAUGUUUCCACGGUUGAACGUCAAACAUUGGAACAAGGAGACAAGCACCAUUCAAAGGCCAGAGUCCCUCAGCUAAACCAGAACUGGGGGUCAGAUUCACGUCUGUCAACUACAUUGCACAUUUGAAACUGCACUUUAGAAAAAAGAGAGAAAAAUAAUGUAGCAGCAGUUUCCUCUGUAGUCAACGCCACACACCAGUGCCAGAUUAAUUUUAUCAUGUUUUAGAAAUGUCAAAACCUUCAAGGAUUUCCCUGUGCUCCCAGAGUAAACCGCCAGCUCCUACAUUUGUGUUUCGAAGCCUGCUCUAAUAUGACUCCAUCCUACAUGGGAGCCAGGGUUCUGAAGCCAGAAUAUCUGGGCUCAAAUUCCAGCUCCCUUGCUUACUAAGCUGUGUCACCUUGCACAAGUUACUUAACCUCUUUGUGCCUCUGUUUUCUCCUCUGUAAAAUGGAAAUUAAAAUGCUGCCUGUAUUA
rnacentral:lncRNA from 1 species